rnacentral:tmRNA from 1 species
GGGGGUGAAUGGACUCGACUCGGGAGGCAGAACUUAAGCUGCAUGCCGAGGUUGCCAGGAGGCCUCGUCCCGUAAGGGUCCCCGCCUCUGGCGGUGGAAAAACACCUGGCAAAGAAAUAAGCGACGCAUCUUGUGGCGUUGCCUUCUCCCUCUGUUAAGAGGGGGGCCCCUUUCAGGAUAAGCCCGCGAUCCUGUAGGGGUUCGGGUAGUCUCGCACUUGCGGGGCAAGCGGGCUGCGCCAGAUACUUUUGCCUGCGGGCAUCUGGUUAAGAAUAGCAGGCUAUAUCUGCUCAAAUCCUGCCCAUCGGAGUUGAGCAGAUGAAUAUAAAAAGAUGGGCUAAGCAUGUAGAUGCUUAAGGGAGGCCUCACCGAGGACGCGGGUUCGAUUCCCGCCACCUCCACCA